rnacentral:rRNA from 1 species
AACGAACGCUGGCGGCAUGCCUAACACAUGCAAGUCGAACGAGACCUUCGGGUCUAGUGGCGCACGGGUGCGUAACGCGUGGGAAUCUGCCCUAGGGUGCGGAAUAACUCGGAGAAAUCCGUGCUAAUACCGCAUAAUGUCUUCGGACCAAAGAUUUAUCGCCCUGGGAUGAGCCCGCGUAGGAUUAGCUAGUUGGUGGGGUAAAGGCCUACCAAGGCGACGAUCCUUAGCUGGUCUGAGAGGAUGAUCAGCCACACUGGGACUGAGACACGGCCCAGACUCCUACGGGAGGCAGCAGUGGGGAAUAUUGGACAAUGGGCGAAAGCCUGAUCCAGCAAUGCCGCGUGAGUGAUGAAGGCCCUAGGGUUGUAAAGCUCUUUUACCCGGGAUGAUAAUGACAGUACCGGGAGAAUAAGCUCCGGCUAACUCCGUGCCAGCCGCCGCGGUAA